AUUUGGUAGUUGAAUCUUUUAUAGUGUAAAAAACAUCUAUUUUGAUUUCGUAUUCCUUUUGAUUAGUUUUAUUUUCUGUGCUUCUGAUAAUUACCUACUGAUUUGGUCGCUAAUUUAAAUUUAGGAAUCAAAUACUAUAAUAGUUGUAUGUGUAACGAUAAAGGUUAAUGAUGGUACAAUAAAGACAUUGCCUCUAAGAAUACCAAAGAUAGUACUUUCACUCUACUUAAUUUUUUUAUUUUUUUUAAUAAAUUCUAUCUCGAUGAUAAUAGAGAAAUAUUAUUUAUUUUUCUUAAUACUGUAAUGAACUGUUGUUUUAUUUUAAACUGAUUUAUUCAUUUUACUUAUUAGGUUUAAAUAUUUUUAGAAAGAAAUAUACUUUAAUUUUAUUCUUUAGUUUAUGCUUUAAUUUUUAAUUAUUCAAUACGGAGAUAAGUAAUAUUUAAAAAUANUGUUUUAUUUUAAACCGAUUUAUUCAUUUUACUUAUUAGGUUUAAAUAUUUUUAGAAAGAAAUAUACUUUAAUUUUAUUCUUUAGUUUAUGCUUUAAUUUUUAAUUAUUCAAUACGGAGAUAAGUAAUAUUUAAAAAUAUUAAUGCAUAAUAAAAAAAAAUAAAGUUAAUAGAUCUAAUAAUUUACUAUUGUAUUAGCUUCUCGCCGCAUCGCGUGAGUCCCUUAGUUAAGGCCCGCGCGAUGCCGCAGGGAGAUAUAAUUACAGUAAAUUAUUGUAAUUUAAAAAUAUGAUUGUAAAAAAAAGAUUAAGAACUAAAAUAAAAAAUUGUAAAAAGGUUGGGACGCAACCCUUAAAAUAAAAGGAGAUCUUCUUUAGGGUUCACAAUUCACGUUUAUAAAG
rnacentral:lncRNA from 1 species